UGCAGUCGAACGGAAACGACAGAAACGAUCACUUCGGUGUGAGUUUCUGGGCGUCGAGUGGCGGACGGGUGCGUAACGCGUAGGAAUCUACCUUAUAGUGGGGGACAACUCGGGGAAACUCGAGCUAAUACCGCAUAAGCCUUACGAGGGAAAGCAGGGGAUCUUCGGACCUUGCGCUAUUAGAUGAGCCUGCGUCGGAUUAGCUUGUUGGUAGGGUAAUGGCCUACCAAGGCGACGAUCCGUAGCUGGUCUGAGAGGAUGAUCAGCCACACUGGGACUGAGACACGGCCCAGACUCCUACGGGAGGCAGCAGUGGGGAAUAUUGGACAAUGGGCGCAAGCCUGAUCCCAGCAAUGCCGCGUGUGUGAAGAAGGCCUUCGGGUUGUAAAGCACUUUCAGUAGGGAAGAAAUGCGUGAAGCUAAUAACUUCGCGCCUUGACGGUACCUAC
rnacentral:rRNA from 1 species